rnacentral:rRNA from 1 species
CGAUGUCGGCUCAUCACAUCCUGGGGCUGUAGUAGGUCCCAAGGGUUGGGCUGUUCGCCCAUUAAAGUGGUACGCGAGCUGGGUUCAGAACGUCGUGGGACAGUUCGGUCCCUAUCCGUCGCAGGCGGAGGAAAUUUGAGAAGACCUGUCCUUAGUACGAGAGGACCGGGAUGGACGUACCUCUGGUGUACCAGUUGUCCUGCCAAGGGCAUGGCUGGGUAGCUA